rnacentral:rRNA from 1 species
GAUCAUGGCUCAGGAUGAACGCUGGCGGCGUGCCUAACACAUGCAAGUCGAGCGAAGCACUUUGCUUAGAUUCUUCGGAUGAAGAGGAUUGUGACUGAGCGGGCGGACGGGUGAGUAACGCGUGGGUAACCUGCCUCAUACAGGGGGGAUAACAGUUAGAAAUGACUGCUAAUACCGCAUAAGACCACAGCACCGCAUGGUGCGGGGGGUAAAAACUCCGGUGGUAUGAGAUGGACCCCGG